UCCUGCAACUGCUCAAAUCUGCCGCUACGAGUCUCAAGCGCUGUUUUUCACUUGCAAAUCUACAUUUCGCUCUCUCGCUCUUCUGCACCAAAAAUCACUGUGACAUUUGGUGCAAAAGUUACUUGUGUAUCUGCCAACCAAAACGUGGGCUCUCAGAGAAAUUCAGCCAAUAGGGGAUGGGGCGUGACGUCACCGCUCUAGCGCUGCGGAGGCUGAACGUCGAAACCGAAACCCCCUUUGCGAGAUUCGCUGCAUCUAUACCUGAUUUGCGUUCAAAAAUGCCUGCUUAAUUAUUUCAUAGUAGGAGCAAACAUGCCUUAAGAAAAUGAGUAGGUUUGAAACUUUAGUAACCAUAAAAAGUACGCCAGGUGGAUGCCUUUCUACUCCAGGAAGCCGCAGCCUACGGCCUGAAGGAGGAAGAGGACGCGGUCAGUUUGAAAUAGCUGAAUCGAUGACAUCCUGAAAGCAGCAAUACAAUUAAGCUGGGCCAGUUCUUCAGAUGAUCAGAGGGACUUCGCCAUCAUCACAUCCCUCAUUGCUGCAGUCAGACUGAAACAGGACGGUGAUGCAUGGCAGUCCAUGCCCGAGAUACGGAUGAUGAAGAGACCACAGCAAC